rnacentral:rRNA from 1 species
CAGCAGCCGCGGUAAUACGGAGGAUGCAAGCGUUAUCCGGAUUCAUUGGGUUUAAAGGGUGCGUAGGCGGAUCUAUAAGUCAGGGGUGAAAUCCGGCAGCUCAACUGUCGAACUGCCUCUGAUACUGUGGGUCUUGAGUUAAGUUGAGGCAGGCGGAAUAUGACAUGUAGCGGUGAAAUGCAUAGAUAUGUCAUAGAACACCGAUAGCGAAGGCAGCCUGCCAAACUUAUACUGACGCUGAUGCACGAAAGCGUGGGUAGCGAACAGGAUUAGAUACCCUGGUAGUCCACGCCGUAAACGAUGAUCACUCGCUGCAUGCGAUAGACAGUAUGUGGCCAAGCGAAAGCGUUAAGUGAUCCACCUGGGGAAUACGAUCGCAAGGUUGAAACUCAAAGGAAUUGACGG